GGCUGAUAUGGGAAGAGGUGUCCGGCUGCGCAAAGGUAGUGCAAUGAACCACAUGACCGACGCACGACGAUGUGUAUGUCACGCAACAACAGCAAUCAGCAGAAUAUAUACGGGAGUUUAUUAAAGGUGUAUCGUGCAGUUUUAACUCAAGCCAGCCAUGAGAAAUUCUAGGCAUAAUAAACUUUAUCACAAGAACAUUGGAAUUCCGUAUGGCAGAAGAUAUAACCAGAUAAAACGAAAUGAAGCUCUUGUCAACAUAGCAACAACACCCAGGAUUUCUUCAGGGCACAGAAGGUUGUCGGAGCCAGGACAAGGGGAUGAAGACGAUUACGUGUCAUUAAUUCAACACAUUAGUAGUGGAUAUAGUAACUCAACUGUUAGCGAUAAUGUAGCAGAAGAC